UUUCCCGUAAGCAAUUUCACGAUGCGGGUGAACGCAUCCAGAGUAAUUCGAGGCGGUAUCCGAAAAAUUUCAUGCUUGACGUUCUGACGUCGAUUUGGUGCUCCAAGAAGCGGCUUACAAUUUAUGAAAUAGAUGCUUGUGAGCAGUCACCCUGCCGGAAAACAUUUGAGUACCAUUUUGGUAGCAUUGGAGCCGCGUACCGUUUAAUUGGCUUCCGCGGGCGGGCGCAUCACUCUGCGAACAUGAAUGUGCGACAAUCGAUCUCGAAGUUGAUGGGGGAUAGAAUCAGGAGUUACGGUGGAACGUUCAGUCCUAUCCGUUGGAGCAGUCUUUUCACCGUCAACAGUGAAUUCACCAUCG
rnacentral:misc_RNA from 1 species